rnacentral:lncRNA from 1 species
GUUCGAAACCAAAGUUUGGAUGUCGGAUGUUCAGAAAGUGACGUCACCCAAAUUUUUUUUUCUCUUGACGUAAUCGAUUUGAAAUCGGCUAGCAAAAUUCCUCAGUCGGGAAACAGCCGCGCAGUAGAGCGGACGGGUGAGAAUCGCGCUCCGCAGAUUUCGAGUACCGGGUUCUCUACUUUCUCGAUCCUGCGCUCCGGGUCUGCUACCUGGUGGAACUUGACUUCCAGGACAAGCGCUCCGUAGUUUCUGUGCUCCAGGCCCGCUACCUGGGGAAAUUCGAUUUCCAGAACGAGCGCUCCGUAGUUCUGGCUGUCCAGGUCCCUGAGCUAGUGACUUAUGACCUUCAGGACUAAUUUUCCGUAGUUCUGGCUAUCCAGGUCCUUCACCUGGUGGAUUUUGACAUCCAGGAAAAGCGCUCCGUAGUUGUGGCUGUCCAGGUCCUUGACUAGGAAUUGUAUAUCCGUGGUGUUUAUCGGUGGUUGUUGGAGGUGGUCGGAGGUCGACGAGGAGGAGGCCGAGGAAGACUAGGAGAAGAAGGUGGCUGAGGAUUUGUGCUGGGUAUAACCCGAGGUGGUUGGCGGUGGUUGGAGGUGGUCGAGCU